rnacentral:rRNA from 1 species
UACGUAGGUGGCAAGCGUUUGUCCGGAUUUAUUGGGCGUAAAGCGCGCGCAGGCGGUCCUUUAAGUCUGAUGUGAAAUCUUGCGGCUCAACCGCAAGCGGUCAUUGGAAACUGGGGGACUUGAGUACAGAAGAGGAAAGCGGAAUUCCACGUGUAGCGGUGAAAUGCGUAGAGAUGUGGAGGAACACCAGUGGCGAAGGCGGCUUUCUGGUCUGUAACUGACGCUGGAGGCGCGAAAGCGUGGGGAGCAAACAGG